rnacentral:rRNA from 1 species
UGAACCUGAGAGUUUGAUCCUGGCUCAGAGCGAACGCUGGCGGCAUGCUUAACACAUGCAAGUCGCACGAACCUUUCGGGGUUAGUGGCGGACGGGUGAGUAACGCGUAGGAACCUAUCCAUGGGUGGGGGAUAACACUGGGAAACUGGUGCUAAUACCGCAUGAUACCUGAGGGUCAAAGGCUUUUGUUGCCUGUGGAGGGGCCUGCGUUUGAUUAGCUAGUUGGUUGGGUAAAGGCUGACCAAGGCGAUG